rnacentral:rRNA from 1 species
GAUGAACGCUAGCUACAGGCUUAACACAUGCAAGUCGAGGGACCGGCGCACGGGUGAGUAACACGUAUCCAACCUGCCCUUUACUCGGGGAUAGCCUUUCGAAAGAAAGAUUAAUACCCGAUGUAAAGGAUGGGGAUGCGUUCCAUUAGGUUGUUGGUGAGGUAACGGCUCACCAAGCAUUCGAUGGUUAGGGGUUCUGAGAGGAAGGUCCACCGCAUUGGAACUGCGGCCCGGUCCAAACUCCUACGGGAGGCAGCAGUGAGGAAGAUUGGUGAAUGGGCGUUAGCCUGAACCAGCCGAGUAGCGUGAAGGAUGAAGGCUUAUGGGUCGUAAACUUCUUGUAUAUAAGAAUAUGUAUUAUAUGAAUAAGGAUCGGCUAACUCCGUGCCAGCAGCCGCGGUAAUAC